CGGUCAAAACCCAAACAUAAUCAGGUGGUCACUGACAUACGAGCGCAUUGAGAAGAAAGAAUAAAUUUGCGUUGUCAAAAGCAACUGAUUACGUCGAUGUCCGUGAAGAUCAGGAACAGUACUGACAAUAUUUAACUUCAAAAUGGAGUCCUAGAUUUUAUAUGAGUCAUGUUGGACUUUUGCGAUCAUGUAAAUCGCCUCUAACCCAGCCAUCAAUGAUGGCCCAGACCAGAUUCUGUCAGCUCUGGUCGUUCAUCUAUUCCAAUAUCAUUUUUAAUAUCGGUCCAUAGAUCUUGGAUAUUUCAAGAUACAGUAUGGAGAAUCUUGGGGAGUACGAAUACAACAAGAAAGACCUCAUCGGCCAUGGGGCAUUCGCUGUUGUCUUCAAAGGACGAAGUCGGAAGAGACCUGACAAGGCUGUCGCCAUCAAGAGUAUAACCAAGAAGAACAUUGCCAAAUCUCAGCAGCUCCUCAGCAAGGAAAUCAAGAUUCUCAAGGAGCUGUCUGAUCUCCAUCAUGAAAAUGUCGUUGGUCUCAUGGAUUGCAAGGAAACAACAAACCACGUCUACUUGGUCAUGGAGUACUGCAAUGGAGGAGAUCUGGCAGACUAUCUUCAGGCCAAGGGUACACUCAGUGAGGAUACAAUAUCUCUGUUUCUGCGACAGAUAGCUGCUGCGAUGAAGGCUCUGAAUGCAAAGGGUAUCGUUCAUCGAGACUUGAAGCCGCAAAACAUUCUCCUGUGUUACCCAGGCAGGGCUAGCCAGUCAACAACAAAAGACAUUAAGCUCAAAAUUGCUGACUUUGGGUUUGCUCGCUUCCUGCAAGAUGGUGUGAUGGCAGCAACAUUGUGUGGGUCUCCGAUGUACAUGGCACCGGAGGUGAUCAUGUCACUCCAGUAUGACGCCAAGGCUGACCUGUGGAGCAUUGGCACCAUCGUCUUCCAGUGUCUCACAGGCAAAGCUCCCUUCCAGGCACAGACACCACAGCAGCUCAAGCAGUUCUAUGAGAAACACAGCGACCUCAUGCCCAAUAUACCAAGUGGGACAUCUCCUGAGCUCAGAGACCUGCUCUUGAAACUGCUGAAAAGAAAUUCCAAAGACCGGAUAGAGUUUGAAAAUUUCUUCAGGCAUGCAUUCCUACAGCGAUCUGCCCCGAAGCCAACCAGCAAGUCUGCCCCAGUGCCAGUCCCCAACCGGAGUGCUAGCUUCUCCUCAGAGGGGUCAACCCCGGGGAAACAUGCCACCUCCGCCACGCCCCCAGCAGCCCAAAUGGAAUACACACCCCCACAUUCUCAUGGUGCUGUGAAACCCGAUGUCCUGCCCCAGCCGUCCCCGCCAGAUGAUGCCGGUUUCCUGAAGGUAGACAAGGAGGAGAUGGAUGUACGCAAGAGUCCUACAGAGGACUUUGUGUUGGUUCCUGAAGGAGAUCAUAUUGAUGUUCCUGCGAGCGCUGCCCCUAUUGCAUCAGAAGAGGAUAUGGACACUCUAGGUGACGCCCCUCCCUCUAUGAAAGCUGUAGCAGUCCAUGCCCAGGUCGGCACCGCCACCUACAAGAAGGAGACCCAGACCAGUCCUAGUCGACCCAGUACUUUGCCAGUCAACAGCCCACCCUCUCCACCCUCCUCCAACCCCAUCCCUGUCCCCACUCAGGCCCGGGCAUAUCAGAAGAUGCAGCAGACGUCACCAUCAAGUCCCCUUGCUCGGAGGGUACCAUCUUCUACGGAAAUGAGAGAGGAGUGCUCGGAAAAGGAAGUAGCCUUGUCUCGGCAGAGUUCUGAAACUAAGCUGUGUACCGGACCCGGCAUCGUCUCCCUGUCUCCCCCGAGUGUCCAGUUCAGCAUCGGCACUCCCCCCACUACGGGGUCGUGGAAGAGGAACAGCACCCCCCCUAGUAAGACCGGCAACACCCCGCCUAGUGUUACUGGCUCACCCCACAGAAAAGCUAGCCUUUCCUCACCCCGGUUUUCACCCCUCCCAUUCUGGGGAGGUCCUGGAUCUCUACCCACAAUCCUCGGCUCUCCGACUAAACUUGCUGCAUUUAACCUGGUGCCCAGUCCUGAGAUGAUGCCGCUUGAACCAGUUCAUGCACCGUUUGGAAAGUUCAGACCAAAUACUUACCCAGAAAGCAUUGCUGCUCUUGCAGCUUCUCCACCAGAAGCCCAUAGGUUGGAGUACCACCGGUCAGAUUCAGACCCCUCCUCCCUGAGUCGAGGGGGAACCAGCCUGCUCUCACAGCAGCUGCUCAAGGCUGCAUUUGGCACACAGACAGGAGCUGGUCAGAUGAUCACCUACAGUGGGAGGACAGGGAGUCGUGAGCGCCUCAACUCCGGAGGCAGUGACAAGACAGGAUCCAUGGAGAGGGAGCGUUCCUCCUCUUACUUCAGGAGAAACAGCACCUUCAACAUGGAGACAUCGCCACCAGCAUCAGGCAUGUACGCCAAGUCGCCGCCCUAUAUGGAAGGGCCAAUCACAUUUGUUGCUCCAGAACUGUCUGAGGAAACUUUGAUGGAUGAGCAGCACAAUGAGAUCAUGGCCAAGUUGAGCUUUGUCCUGGACCUAGUGGAGUGUAUCAUGGAGCUAGCCCAGGCCAGAGGUGCUGCUCUCAGCACAUUCAAUGACUCAGUCUCAUGUAAACAGGGUGAGAGUUUGCCAGCGGAACAGCUGCCUAGAUUUACAGAAGCUCAGAGGCGCCUAGAACAGCUGGUGCUGUUUGUGAGAUCGCUACACCUGCUGUCUUCAGCACUGCAGUUGUCUCGGCAGGAGAUCAAGUCUGGACGCCUCCACUCCUCUAAUGCCCUUAAAUCAGUAUUGAAGCAGAUGAAUGACUACUACCACCGGUGUGUUCUGGAGUGUCGACAGCUGCACCAGAGGCUGGGGACCACGUGUAAAACCCCCCUCACCCCCCAGCUGGUGGUGGCCACUGCCGACAAACUCAUCUACAACUACGCAAUCGAGAUGUGCCAAGGAGCUGCACUAGAUGAACUCUUCGGUAAUCCCAAGGAGUGUUUCCGUCGUUACACAGUAGCCCAGAUCCUGCUUCACAGCCUGGCACAGCAAGCACCCAACACACGAGAUAAGGACCUCCUCAAUAAGUACAAAGAGUCUGUGGAGCACCGUCUAUGUAACCUACAGAGUCAAGGCGUGAUGAAUCCGUACGAUGCUUACAGUUGAUCUACAGGCUUCUCCCAGAACUGCUGGACGGCUCCUCUACAGCUGACAGACCAGACUACAACCCAUCUUUAAUACAAAAUAGGAUAGUUGUAACAAACAGGACAUAACUUCAUAGUAGGAGGCUUUGGUUCAGCAACUGUGUCUUCAUCCUAGGGAUUAGUCAGUUAUUGGAACAUCUUCUGGUCAACAGUUGAAUGUUUGGAAUAGACGAACUGACUUGUCAUGGUUUUCUUACCAAUCGGUUAUACACCUUCAGGUUAUGUGUACUGUAAUUUCAGGAACCAUCGGAAAUGUAAACUGAGAAUUGCAGCGGUAAAGUAAGGACUUGUCAAUGUCAACUUGCAAUCCUCAAAGAUAUCAGCCUCGUCAAUAUGGUCCUAAUCUGGUCUGAAACUUCACCUAGAUCAAACCAAUUUGUGAUAUUGUCAGUUGAUUGAUGAGAAUUUUCACCUGAAGGCUUGUCUCUCAACAGAAGAACUGUCUCUAUCGGUCGUCUUGCCAUCGGUUGUUAGGACUGUCAGUCCAGAUUGCAGCCAUUGAUAACGACGUCUGACCCUGAUGUACUCAAUGGACUAGAAUUAGGUUAGACAUCUUCGGUGACGAUGGCCGAGUUGAAAUAUCAAUGAUACCUCAUUUCCGUUUGAGAAUUUUGUUACUGAACCAAACAUUUUAUGGCGUAACCGAUUUGCAUUUGAUUUACUACUGCCAUAUUGUUCUGAGUUGACACUGAAGUCGGAAGUGCAUGUGCCAAAAACAAAAGGACACCCAGAGAUCAUCUUUGGGUCACUGUUUCAAAGGAUCUUCGAUGCCUUUAAUCCUGAAAACUGCAAUUGUAUUUCUAACAUACAACACAAAUUCAUUCAAAGAUACAUUUGUUCUAUGUGUUCUAGUCUAGUUGAGGAGCCUAGACUGCUGAAACCAUUGGACAAGAACUAUAUUGAUAUAGUGCUUUUAUGGACCCUUACAUGAAAUACCUCUGAUUCUAACUUUCUGAUGUACGGAGAUAAAUUGGAAUGCAUGUAUGUUGGAUGAAUCCAAAAUACCACGGAAAGGACUUGCAACAAAUUAAUAUAAUCCAUGGUAAGAAGAGCAGCUACAUCGUUGACAUUGUUGAUUUUGUACAGAAGGCACUGGAUAUUCCUCUGCGAGGACGUAAUGCUAUGUGGAUUUGUUUCGUGUUGCUUGGCUACGUGAUGGACAUGUUCGUAUUACACCAAGCGGUGGUAUACAAGGAUGUGUUGUGUUGUACCAGAUAUGGUAACCUAUUAUCUGCUUUGAUGGGAGUUGGUCAAUUGUGAUGCAUGACCUGGCUACAGGGACAACUUUGUCUGGGAUGUUGCUGACAGCAACGGUGAUGCUGAAGCUCGUCACAUCCCAGUAGAGAAGCGCGCUGGUGAUGUAUAACAGUGAUACUCUGUGUGUAUAUGAGACAAUCUAAUUUAACUAACUACUAACUGUAAAUUGAUCUGUUGGUAUUUUGUUUGACCUCUGUCAGUUCAUCUAUUUGAGUUUGGUUCACAGACCUUUAUCUGUAACAAAAAGAAAACGUUUUUAGGUGUGUGGUUAUUUUAACACAAAAUUCUGCCGUUUUAUGUACGAUUUUAUGGUUGCCCUUUUGUAGCAAAAUUCAUUUUAUUGUGGACUUGUGUCAUUUGUCUGUGAGAAUUUAUUCAUCAAUUCUUUCAAGUAAGUUGCUGUUAUUUUCAGUUAUGAAAGCUCUUACUGGUGAAAGAAGUUGACUCUUGACAAAAACACAAUCAGGCAACGUUCAAUAGUAGCUCUUUUAGUAUGUUUAGAAUUAGAAUAAGAACUCAUUAGCCAGCUCAUGAAGUCAUGAACUACAAAUGUUAUUUUUGAAUUUGAGUCAGAAAACAAUUUUGAUACACUAGUCAGUGGAUGUGCGAUUCAAUUCACCUAGUCUUUUAGUAACGUUUUAUACGACGGAAACUUGUACCAUGCCUUUAUUCACUCGAUUUAGAUUUGUUCUACGUUCAGUAAAGAACAGGCCUGUAUCCUAUAUCCAACUCUGCAGUUCUUCGUCUAUAGUGCUAUGUGUAUCAUAUAUAUCUUCAGUCAUAUAUCAACCAUGGGCUCUAUUGCUUGGUAGACUGCCUAUAAAGUGUUUGAUAUAAGGGAUGUCAUUUAGGUUAGCUGAAGAAGUAAACAAACGUAGCAUGUCAUGGAUGCCCUGCAGUCUUUAGUGAUAACACUAGUGUUUAUGACAAAGACUUUCAUGCUUGAGUUUGAACGCUGCCUUAGCUGUAUUCCCAUAUUUGGUGCCAUUCCCAACCAUUCCUUUCUAUAAUGUAUUCCAGCAUUGAAUCGGUUCUGAUAGAAAUAUUUCAUGUUUUUAUAGUAUGCUCACACUCAGUGUGUAAAGAUAUUAAAACAUAAAUAACCAUUUGUUUGUACAUUUCUUGCAACUCAUGUGAUGUAUUUAAGUUAAUUUAUAAAAUAUGAAAAAAAUUAGCUGUUUCUUUUAUGUUGAACAUGUACUUUGCUUAUAGUAUAUUGUGAUAGAAGCUGUUUUUUGUAUAGAAUUUACCAUGCAUGUCAAUGUAGAUAGCAUUUUCACAUGGAUUUUUUGUUUUAUUUGUACAUAGCCCUGUUGAAAGUGCCUGAUAUCCAAAGGCAUUAUGUUAUAUUAGAUGUAAAUAGCCGAAAGAUUUUAUUUCCUUUUAUUAUUUAUUACCCCAUGCUAAGAAAGCAACAUCAAGUCGUGAAUGUGAUAUAUGUUGUGACAAUGUGAAUGUGUAUUUGUGGUACACAUUAAGCCUACAGUUGACGUUAUGUUGCAUUGGACUGCAAUUUAAUUUAAGAUGUGUGCGUAUGAAAGAAUGUUUUAAUGCAUUUAGACUUUUUAGUAUAUGUGUACGUCACCCUCGUUGUUGCCACUGUAUCUUGUGUCAUCCCUUUAUGCAAUAUUCACAGCCUAUAUAUAUUAUUUCUCUCAUUGCUAACAUGGGAGAGUUCUUCGAUCUUGGAAUUACAUCUGCAUUCUCUCCAUGUCUCACUCUAAUCAUGUCCGCAACCUUUUUGCUCUUGAAAUCACCAGGAUCUCUACUGAUGGAGUUGUACAAAUAGACCUAGCAAUUAGACUUCAGGGAAGGUUGUUUGAUACCUCAUCAUAAAGGACUCUGCUUCUGGGACCCAAUUCACAAAGCAUUUGUAAUGUUACUAUCGUUACUCUAUACUGUAUCAUUGGCUUACUAAUGACAUAGUGCUACAAAGGCUUUGUGGAUAAGGUCCCUGGGUCCAGUUCCACAAUGAGUUCGUAAUGUUACGACCUGUCGUAACCCUAUACUGUAUCAUUGGCUUAUGAAUGAUUUAGCACUACAAACACUUUGUGGAUGAGGUCCCGGAGUCCCGAGCCACAAAGAGUUUGUAAUGUUACGACAUGUCAUAACUCAAUAGUUUAUCAUAGGCUUACAAAUGUCGUAGCACUACGAACUCUUUGUGAAUCAGGACUCUGGUACUCCAAGCUCAGUGCAGUCUGGAGUCAUAUUGUUCCGGCAAGGGAGGCGAUGCUGGCCAUAAAAGCCCGAGUCAAGCAUCACUUGUCCCGAUUAACUAAGCUUGGUGAACCAGCUGUUUCAUUGUCAUCUUAUCGCUGUUAACUGUUCAUGUAAUCAGUGUCACAAUUUGUCAUCAAACCAAUUUUCCACUAGCAUGACUAUGAAGCACCAUCUCAACUUGAAUAAAUUUAUUACGGAUAUCACUGCUUGUUUGUAUCCUAUUUCUUACUGAAAUUCAUCUUCAUAUAUAUGAAAAUAUAUCAACUGCUCUGUUAGGGUUAGAUGUUUACUGUGUACAAGAUCGUUUGUUUUAUAGUUUGAAGGAGAAAGCUCCCUAUUGGUUUAUUGGUGGUAUGUAUAUACACAUGUAUAUGAUCAUUACAUCAUGCUUUGUGUACACUGCCCAAUCAUAAGUAUAGACCAUGCCCCUUUCUACUUCUUCAUCCAAUACAUCAAUGUAUGGGCAUUACUGUCAUAGAGCUCUGGCCAGGUUAUUCCAGUGGUAGACCAUGAGCUUUACACAACUUCAAUCCCUGAUUUAUUCUCAGUAUAAUGUCUCUAUUUCUAUAAAUACCAAGGACCUUUCUCGCAGCCAUGGAUUUGAAAGUGAUGUUGAAAUUCCUGUCUCCUCAUCUGUAACUCAGCACGAAUAUGUCUUGCUCAUGGACAUAAUUUGAUUGGAUGUUUAUUCACAACAUUGUGCAAGUAAGCCAUGCUCAAAAUGAAGAAAUAGUGGCAUGUGAAUUUUGGUUUGUCCACGAGGUGGCCAGGAAUAAUAAAGUUGUGGAUGAACGUUACGGCAAGGAAAGAUAACUCUUCCUAUAAGAUCUUGACAUUCAUUAACUGAUAUUGAAACCAGAAUUUUUUACAAAAUGAUUAAAUGAAUCACUCAAGGAUGAGUGUUCUCUUUUCAAGUGUUCCUGAACUAGUAGUCUGAUCCACCAGAACACGAGGGGCUUCAUAUUGUCAUGAGAUGUCAGGGAGAAGGGUUUACUGCAUGGCCUUGUUCCACAGAGCAGUCGUAAUGCUGCAUGUUGUAAGUUAAAAUUAAAAUGGUAAGACAAAGAGUGUCAUGCUGUGUCUGAGUGUGAUAUCCAUGUCAAACUGUUAGAAUUGAUCUUCAGUAACCCAUGCUUGUCGUAAAUGGGUGGUCAGGCUCGCUGACUUUGCUGGCACGUCAUCGUAUCCCAGUUGCGUAGAUCGAUGCUCAUGCUGUGGAUGACUGGAUUGUCUGGUCCAGACUCAAGUAUUUACACCACCAUAUAGCUGGAAUAUUGCUGAGUGUGGCGUAAAACUUGACUCACUCACUCCCUGAUGCAUGUAUCUCCUUGGAUAAACACUAUACAUGGCUGCAAACCACUGUGUAAGUGCAAUGGCCUUAAAUGCGACUUUUAUGAUCACUAUUUGAAAUAAUAAAAAGUAUGAUAGUGUUGAGAUCACAGUUGGAACAGGUCAGAUAAGAUCACUUGGUUAACAUCAGACUUUCAUCCACAAUUUUUUUACCCUGAGCUUGUAAUUACCUACAGUUUAGGACCUAGCAUGUGCUGCUAGUUCUUGAAAUACAAUGUUGAAGUUAGAGCUAUCUGUUUUCUUCAUCCUUUCAUUGCCAGUACUUCAUGGGGUUUUCCACAACUGUCCUCCUUCAUCCAUGGAUACAUGUGGCUUCUUUGUGAUACGAUACUUUUGAACGAUAAAUCAAAUGGCUUUGUAUAUUCAUAGAUAAAUAGAAGACCUAGUUCUGACAAGUGAGAGAUCAACAACAUGAGCAUCGAUCUGCACAAUUGGGAACCGAUGACGUGUGUCAACCAAGUCAGCGAGCCUGACUACCUGAUCCCGAUAGACGCCUCUUGCGACAAGCAUGGGCUACUGACGGCCAAUAUUCUAACCCGGACCUUCAUGGGUCAGUUCCGACAAGAGGGAAGACAGAGAGUGAUAAGACCAAUGACCAGGUAGAUGACUUGGG
rnacentral:misc_RNA from 1 species